AGAACUGCUAGUGGACGAAUGCUUCAGGCAUGAAAGUUUGGUUCAAUUCACCAGGCAAAGAACCAUGACUAGCAGCACUGCUUGCUGAGGGCAAAGGGAAUAUCAAAAGAGUACAGGAAGAAAGUAGUUAUAAAUACCAGCUACAAGAGCAUGACCAGUUACAGAAACAAGGAUUUAAGUUACAGGAUAUCAAAGGAGGAGAGUGAACAUCAUCCAAGGAUUUGGAGUCCUCUUCUGGGAAAAAGGUCAACAAAGAGUUCUUGAGCAUCUGCCAGACCAAGUACAGUUCUAGACAUCAAAGAACCUACAAUGAAUAAAGCAAGUCUCUUUCUUCAGGAAAAUUACAGCAUAAUGUUGUUGCAAUUAAGUUUUUUUCAUGCAUGUAAAACCCUCGUGCAUACAUUUGGCUGAUACAUACUGAACUCUAAAAACACAUUACUACCCAUUUUAGUAAUUAACA